GUUUUGCGCCGCGGCUGCUCCAGCGCAGAACCUCUUGAGAAGCUGCGCGGCUGCGCAGACUUUUAAACCCGUGGAUGCGUGACCUGGUGACGUCAUUCCGGCUGAGUUCACGCAGACGAUGAAUUUGGACGGGUUUUCCGCAGAACCUGCGCAGACUGAGCAAAGUUUGCGUAUCGUGAACGCAGCCUGAACCCGUGUGAGACACGAGUUAUGGCAAAGGGAAUUGUAUUUUGUGUUACCUGAACUGAAGUCUUAUUUUCACUUCGAAGAAUAGACUUUUUUUGUGUGGUUUAGAAAGUCAAUGUAUAUCUGUUUGAUACACAUUUGAGAUAAUCCUAUUUAAAAGGUAUUACCGAGAAAAAACACACUUCCUGCAUACAAAAACGACUUAAGAAGAAGAGAGAUAGCGACGGAUCCGUAUGAGGAAAGCUGAAGGAGGUUUGGGAAGCGGGGAGCAGCGGAUCCAGCGCUCUGAUGCCAGGAAGAAACCACACUGUCAGGGGAUGAAAACAAUCACACAAACAAAGCAUCUAGAUCCUAAAAUAAAAUCAACUGGAUUAUAUGAAAGACUUGAGUGCUUUAUUUUGUAUUGACACCUUUCUGCAAUGUGAUUCUGUUUGGUAUCUGACCAUGUGGUGCUCAACUCUGUUGAAAUUAUCUAUGAUAGAUUAGCCCGUAUUUUCAAUGACUUUUACUCUAGUCUUUUUAAUUCCUUCCUCUUUCUUGAAAGGGGUAGAACACAAUUUUACAGAGCCUUGUGAAAACUGGAGGGUAGAUUUAAAGAUGAUAUGCAAUGAAAAAAUGUCCGACCAGAGGGUCGUUGAAUUGAAACCCUUUCAAAAUAAAAAUCCCCCUGUCAAUUCUGUAAAUCAGUUUUUUCAUUUUGCACUUUGAAUUUCAU